CCUACGGGGGGCAGCAGUGGGGAAUCUUAGACAAUGGGCGCAAGCCUGAUCUAGCCAUGCCGCGUGAGUGAUGAAGGCCCUAGGGUCGUAAAGCUCUUUCAACUGUGAAGAUAAUGACGGUAGCAGUAGAAGAAACCCCGGCUAACUCCGUGCCAGCAGCCGCGGUAAUACGGAGGGGGUUAGCGUUGUUCGGAAUUACUGGGCGUAAAGCGUACGUAGGCGGAUUAAUAAGUUAGAGGUGAAAUCCCAGGGCUCAACCCUGGAACUGCCUUUAAAACUGUUAGUCUUGAGAUCGAGAGAGGUGAGUGGAAUUCCAAGUGUAGAGGUGAAAUUCGUAGAUAUUUGGAGGAACACCAGUGGCGAAGGCGGCUCACUGGCUCGAUACUGACGCUGAGGUACGAAAGUGUGGGGAGCAAACAGGAUUAGAUACCCGGGUAGUC
rnacentral:rRNA from 1 species